rnacentral:rRNA from 1 species
GACGAACGCUGGCGGCGUGCUUAACACAUGCAAGUCGAACGGAAAGGCCCUGCUUUUGUGGGGUGCUCGAGUGGCGAACGGGUGAGUAACACGUGAGUAACCUGCCCUUGACUUUGGGAUAACUUCAGGAAACUGGGGCUAAUACCGGAUAGGAGCUCCUGCUGCAUGGUGGGGGUUGGAAAGUUUCGGCGGUUGGGGAUGGACUCGCGGCUUAUCAGCUUGUUGGUGGGGUAGUGGCUUACCAAGGCUUUGACGGGUAGCCGGCCUGAGAGGGUGGCCGGCGACAUUGGGACUGAGAGACGGAGCAGACGCGUACGGGAGGCAGCAGUGGGGAAUAUUGCAGAAUGGGCGGAAGCCUGAUGCAGCGACGCCGCGUGCGGGAUGACGGCCUUCGGGUUGUAAACCGCUGUCGCCUGUGACGAAGCGGGAGUGACGGUAAUGGGUAAAGAAGCACCGGCUAACUACGUG